GUGCUCGCUUCGGCAGCACAUAUACUAAAACUGGAACAAUACAGAGAAGAUCAGCAUGGCCCCUGUGCAAGGAUGAUAUGCAAAUUCGUGAAGCAUUCCAUAUUAAA
rnacentral:snRNA from 1 species